rnacentral:tRNA from 1 species
GAGGGCUUAGUUUAAUUAAAANUAAUUGAUUUGCGUUCAGUUGAUGUAAGAUGAGAUCUUGCAGCCUUUA